GAAUAUUGGGCAAUGCCCGCAAGGGUGACCCAGCAACGCCGCGUGGAGGAUGAAGGCCGUAAGGUUGUAAACUCCUGUUAGAGGGGACGAAUGGUUGGGUUAACAGCCCAAUUUGACGGUACCCUCAGAGAAAGCCCCGGCUAACUACGUGCCAGCAGCCGCGGUAAUACGUAGGGGGCAAGCGUUGUCCGGAUUUACUGGGUGUAAAGGGCGCGCAGGCGGACUAGCAAGUCAGAGGUGAAAUCCUACAGCUUAACUGUAGAACUGCCUUUGAUACUGUUAGUCUUGAGUACGGAAGAGAGAAGCGGAAUUCCAGGUGUAGUGGUGAAAUACGUAGAUAUCUGGAAGAACACCAGUUGCGAAGGCGGCUUCUUGGUCCGUUACUGACGCUCAGGCGCGAAAGCGUGGGUAGCAAACAGG
rnacentral:rRNA from 1 species